rnacentral:rRNA from 1 species
GACGAACGCUGGCGGCGUGCUUAACACAUGCAAGUCGAACGGGAAGGCCCUGCUUUUGUGGGGUGCUCGAGUGGCGAAAGGGUGAGUAACACGUGAGUAACCUGCCCUUGACUUUGGGAUAACUUCAGGAAACUGGGGCUAAUACCGGAUAGGAGCUCCUGCUGCAUGGUGGGGGUUGGAAAGUUUCGGCGGUUGGGGAUGGACUCGCGGCUUAUCAGCUUGUUGGUGGGGUAGUGGCGUACCAAGGCUUUGACGGGUAGCCGGCCUGAGAGGGUGACCGGCCACAUUGGGACUGAGAUACGGCCCAGACUCCUACGGGAGGCAGCAGUGGGGAAUAUUGCACAAUGGGCGGAAGCCUGAUGCAGCGACGCCGCGUGCGGGAUGACGGCCUUCGGGUUAUGAACCGCUUUCGCCUGUGACGAAGCGUGAGUGACGGUAAUGGGUAAAGAAGCACCGGCUAACUACGUG